rnacentral:rRNA from 1 species
AUUGAACGCUAGCGGCAGGCCUUACACAUGCAAGUCGAACGAGUGGCGGACGGGUGAGUAAUUUCUGGGAACCUGCCCGAUAGCGGGGGAUAACUACUGGAAACGGUAGCUAAUACCGCAUACCAUCGGAUGUGCCCAGAUGGGAUUAGCUAGUAGGUGGGGUAAAGGCUCACCUAGGCGACGAUCCCUAGCUGGUCUGAGAGGAUGACCAGACACACUGGAACUGAGACACGGUCCAGACUCCUACGGGAGGCAGCAGUGGGGAAUAUUGCACAAUGGGGGCAAGCCUGAUGCAGCCAUGCCGCGUGUAUGAUGAAGGCCUUCGGGUUGUAAAGUACUUUCAGCGGAGAGGCGUUAUCCGCAGAAGAAGCACCGGCUAACUACGUGCCAGCAGCCGCGGUAAUUC